ensembl:snRNA U1 U1 spliceosomal RNA
AUAUUUAUCUGACAGGGGAGAUAGUAUGAUCAUCAAGGUGGUUUUCUCGCAGUGAGGCUCAUCCAUGGCACUCCGAGUGUACUGACCCCUACAACUUCUCCAAAUAUGAAGACUCCACUGCAUAAUUUGUGGUACUGGGGAUUGCAUUUGUUCUUUCCCCUA